CCUACGGGUGGCAGCAGUGAGGAAUAUUGGUCAAUGGACGAGAGUCUGAACCAGCCAAGCAGCGUGAAGGAUGACUGCCCUAGGGGUUGUAAACUUCUUUUAUAUGGGAAUAAAAUGUUACACGUGUGGGAUUUUGUAUGUACCAUAUUAAUAAGGAUCGGCUAACCCCGUGCCAGCAGCAGCGGUAAUACGGGGGAUACGAGCGUUGUCCGGAUUUAUUGGGUGUAAAGGGAGCGGAGGUGGAUUGUUAAGUCCGUUGUGAAAGUUUGCGGCUCAACCGUAAAAUUGCAGUUGAAACUGGCAGUCUUGAGUACAGUAGAGGUGGGCGGAAUUCGUGGUGUAGCGGUGAAAUGCUUAGAUAUCACGAAGAACUCCGAUUGCGAAGGCAGCUCACUGGACUGCAACUGACACUGAGGCUCGAAAGUGUGGGUAUCUAACAGGAUUAGAUACCCCUGUAGUC
rnacentral:rRNA from 1 species